rnacentral:rRNA from 1 species
UACGUAGGGUGCGAGCGUUGUCCGGAAUUACUGGGCGUAAAGAGCUCGUAGGCGGUCUGCCGCGUCCGUUGUGAAAACUCGAGGCUCAACCUCGGGCUUGCAGUGGAUACGGGCAGACUAGAGUGCGGUAGGGGAGACUGGAAUUCCUGGUGUAGCGGUGGAAUGCGCAGAUAUCAGGAGGAACACCGAUGGCGAAGGCAGGUCUCUGGGCCGCAACUGACGCUGAGGAGCGAAAGCAUGGGGAGCGAACAGG